GACGUAGGGCGCGAGCGUUGUCCGGAUUUAUUGGGCGUAAAGAGCUCGUAGGCGGCUUGUCGCGUCGACUGUGAAAACCCGCGGCUCAACCGCGGCCUGCAGCCGAUACGGGCAGGCUAGAGUUCGGUAGGGGAGACUGGAAUUCCUGGUGUAGCGGUGAAAUGCGCAGAGUAUCAGGAGGAACACCGAUGGCGAAGGCAGGUCUCUGGGCCGAUACUGACGCUGAGGAGCGAAAGCGUGGGGAGCGAACAGG
rnacentral:rRNA from 1 species